CAACUACUCCCUCUGUCCCAAAUUUCUUGUCUUAGAUUUUUCUAGAUACGGAUGUAUGUAUGACUUGAUACAUCCGUAUCUAGACAAAUCUAAGACAAUAAUUUUGGGACGGAGGGAGUACUUU
rfam:Triticum aestivum genome assembly, contig: Triticum_aestivum_CS42_TGACv1_scaffold_515322_6BS